rnacentral:rRNA from 1 species
UACGAAGGGGGCUAGCGUUGUUCGGAAUUACUGGGCGUAAAGCGCACGUAGGCGGAUACUUAAGUCAGGGGUGAAAUCCCGGGGCUCAACCCCGGAACUGCCUUUGAUACUGGGUAUCUCGAGUCCGGAAGAGGUGAGUGGAAUUCCGAGUGUAGAGGUGAAAUUCGUAGAUAUUCGGAAGAACACCAGUGGCGAAGGCGACUUACUGGACACAUAUUGACGCUGAGGUGCGAAAGCGUGGGGAGCAAACAGG